rnacentral:tRNA from 1 species
CAGGGAAUAGUUUAUUUAAAAUAUUAAUUUUGGAGAUUAUUGAUAAGGGCUAUCCUUUUCCCUGAA